GACGAACGCUGGCGGCGUGCUUAACACAUGCAAGUCGAACGGAAAGGCCCUGCUUUUGUGGGGUGCUCGAGUGGCGAACGGGUGAGUAACACGUGAGUAACCUGCCCUUGACUUUGGGAUAACUUCAGGAAACUGGGGCUGAUACCGGAUAGGAGCUCCUGCUGCAUGGUGGGGGUUGGAAAGUUUCGGCGGUUGGGGAUGGACUCGCGGCUUAUCAGCUUGUUGGUGGGGUAGUGGCUUACCAAGGCUUUGACGGGUAGCCGGCCUGAGAGGGUGACCGGCCACAUUGGGACUGAGAUACGGCCCAGACUCCUACGGGAGGCAGCAGUGGGGAAUAUUGCACAAUGGGCGGAAGCCUGAUGCAGCAACGCCGCGUGCGGGAUGACGGCCUUCGGGUUGUAAACCGCUUUCGCCUGUGACGAAGCGUGAGUGACGGUAAUGGGUAAAGAAGCACCGGCCAACUACGUG
rnacentral:rRNA from 1 species